GGCCACCUGCUGUGCGGUUCUGAGGGCUUCCGCGGUUCUGAGGGCUUCCGCGUCCCUGCCAUGCCCAUCUUGGGGCUUCAGAAGCCAACACGAUGGUUUUCGGGCUCACAUCCCAAAGGCUGCUCUUCCUUUUAGCACCUGGGACCUACCAGGAACCUCAACCUCUAACAACAUUGGUCCCCGUUACCGUGGAGUUUGCGCCCAGCGUUCGCUGGAGGGCCGUUUGAAGAAUGAUUGUUGUCGUAAAGGCCUUUGAUAAUAAUAGAUACUGUUUACCCAGUGCUUGAUGCCAGGCAUUGCUACAAACACUGCGUACACAUUAUUCUAUUUAAUCUUCAUAACCCAGUGAGGAUAUCAACCAGGAUAUGGCAUUGCAUUGGAUCCCAACCAGGAUAUGACGUUACAUUGGAUCCCAACCAGGAUAUGGCAUUGCACUGGAUCCCAACCAGGAUAUGGCAUUGCACUGGAUCCCAACCAGGAUAUGGCAUUGCGUUGGAUCCCAACCAGGUUAUGGCAUUACAUUGGAUCCCAACCAGGUUAUGGCAUUGCAUUGGAUCCCAACCAGGAUAUGACAUUGCAUUUACUCAUCACGCCUCCUUAGGUUCCUCUUGGCUGUGACGGUUUCUCAGACUAUCCUUGUUUUUUAGGACCUUGACAGUUUUGAGGCAUACUGGUAUUGGAAAACCCAAGCAUUGACUCUCCAGACCAGCCUCGCACCUAAGAACGCCGUGGGAUGCAGUUUCAGACAGUGAGAAAUCUGCUGGGGAUGCCUGGGAAAGGGACAUACCUGGCAGGUGCCGCUCCAUGGCCUUCUUGCUGCCUUGAAUUGGGACAUGAGCCUGAGUCGCAGCAGCCGUCUUGUGACUGAGAGGUGGCAAGCAGGAGGAAGAGGCUAAGAGAAUAGAGACACUGUUGAGCUGCUGAAGCACAGCAAGCGGCCACUUCUCUAUGCUUCUUGCUAUUUGACUGUUAAGCUAGUGCAAGUUACUUUUCUGGUCAGAAUGAAUUCAUAACUGAAACAUGCUUUAAAGUAUGACUAUUAUUAUUAAAUGCAGCAUAAGCUUUCCAUAGCUGCUACACGAUCACACCCACUGCUGUCUCAGACUGACCAGUGGCCGACUAAACAUGACAGCAAGUACUGUUGCCAGCCUCUGCCUUCUUAUACUUGUGGAGUUUGUUUAAAUCUAAAUUCAGGACUCACCCUGUUAAAUUU
ensembl:lncRNA novel transcript, antisense to ACSL1